rnacentral:rRNA from 1 species
UACGUAGGCAGCAAGCGUUGUUCGGAAUUACUGGGCGUAAAGAGUGUGUAGGCGGUGCUCUAAGUUCGGUGUGAAAUCUCCCGGCUCAACUGGGAGGGUGCGCCGAAAACUGGAGUGCUGGAGCGCGGGAGAGGAAAGCGGAAUUCCUGGUGUAGCGGUGAAAUGCGUAGAUAUCAGGAGGAACACCUGUGGUGUAGACGGCUUUCUGGACCAUAGCUGACGCUGAGACACGAAAGCGUGGGUAGCAAACAGG